AGGGUGUAAACGCUGCGGGCUUGGUGUUGGGGGUCCUUUGAGGGCGCCCAGUGCCGGAGAGAAGUUGUUAAGCCUGCUGCUUGGGGAGUACGUCCGCAAGGAUGAAACUUAAAGGAAUUGGCGGGGGAGCACCGCAACGGGAGGAGCGUGCGGUUCAAUUGGAUUCAACGCCGGACAACUCACCAGGAGCGACGGUUACAUGAAGGCCGAGAUGAAGACUCUGCUAGAUUUUCAGAGAGGUGGUGCAUGGCGUCAGUGACU
rnacentral:rRNA from 1 species